UGGAGAUAAAAGCAGUA
rnacentral:miRNA from 1 species